UAAGCCAGUUUAGAUAAUGAGCGUUUAGAUAAGACGCUAAAGGAGCCUUUUAGCGUCAAUAAUACUGACAAAGGGAACUGACCAAGCGUCUGUAUUUUACAAGAUGGGAAUGAGAAUCACUUGGUCCAGCA